AUUGAACGCUGGCGGCAGGCCUAACACAUGCAAGUCGAGCGAGCGGCGGACGGGUGAGUAAUGUAUGGGGAUCUGCCCGAUAGAGGGGGAUAACUACUGGAAACGGUAGCUAAUACCGCAUACUAUCGGAUGAACCCAUAUGGGAUUAGCUGGUUGGUGGGGGAAAGGCUCACCAAGGCGACGAUCCCUCGCUGGUCUGCGAGGAUGACCAGCCACACUGGGACUGAGACUCGGCCCAGACUCCGACGGGAGGCUGCAGGGGGGAAUAUUGCACAAGGGGCGCAAGCCUGAUGCAGCCAUGCCGCGUGUAUGCAGAAGGCCUUAGGGUUGUAAAGUACUUUCAGCGGGGAGGCGUUACCCGCAGAAGAAGCACCGGCUAACUCCGUGCCAGCAGCCGCGGUAAUUC
rnacentral:rRNA from 1 species